rnacentral:rRNA from 1 species
AACGCUAGCUACAGGCUUAACACAUGCAAGUCGAGGGGCAGCAGGACGAUAGCUUGCUAUUGUUGCUGGCGACCGGCGCACGGGUGAGUAACGCGUAUCCAACCUUCCCCUUAGUAGGGCAUAGCCCGUAGAAAUGCGGAUUAAUACCCUAUGUUAUCCGACGAUGACAUCUGAAUUGGAUCAAAGGUUUACCGCUAAGGGAUGGGGAUGCGUCCGAUUAGGCAGCAGGCGGGGUAACGGCCCACCUGGCCGACGAUCGGUAGGGGUUCUGAGAGGAAGGUCCCCCACAUUGGAACUGAGACACGGUCCAAACUCCUACGGGAGGCAGCAGUGAGGAAUAUUGGUCAAUGGGCGCGAGCCUGAACCAGCCAAGUAGCGUGCAGGACGACGGCCCUAUGGGUUGUAAACUGCUUUUAUGCGGGGAUAAAGUGCGGCACGUGUGCCGUUUUGUAGGUACCGCAUGAAUAAGGACCGGCUAAUUCCGUGCCAGCAGCCGCGGUAAUACGGAAGGUCCGGGCGUUAUCCGGAUUUAUUGGGUUUAAAGGGAGCGCAGGCGGAGGCUUAAGCGUGACGUGAAAUGUAGCCGCUCAACGGCUGAGUUGCGUCGCGAACUGGGUUUCUUGAGUGAGUGCGACGUCAGCGGAAUUCGUGGUGUAGCGGUGAAAUGCUUAGAUAUCACGAAGAACUCCGAUUG